GACGAACGCUGGCGGCGUGCUUAACACAUGCAAGUCGAACGGAAAGGCCCUGCUUUUGUGGGGUGCUCGAGUGGCGAACGGGUGAGUAACACGUGAGUAACCUGCCCUUCACUUUGGGAUAACUUCAGGAAACUGGGGCUAAUACCGGAUAGGAGCUCCUGCUGCAUGGUGGGGGUUGGAAAGUUUCGGCGGUUGGGGAUGGACGCGCGGCUUAUCAGCUUGUGGGUGGGGUAGUGGCUUACCAAGGCUUUGACGGGUAGCCGGCCUGAGAGGGUGACCGGCCACAUUGGGACUGAGAUACGGCGCAGACUCCUACGGGAGGCAGCAGUGGGGAAUAUUGCACAAUGGGCGGAAGCCUGAUGCAGCAACGCCGCGUGCGGGAUGACGGCCUUCGGGUUGUAAACCGCUUUCGCCUGUGACGAAGCGUGAGUGACGGUAAUGGGUAAAGAAGCACCGGCUAACUACGUG
rnacentral:rRNA from 1 species